AUUAAAGUUGUUGCAGUUAAAAAGCUCGUAGUUGGACUUGUGUGCGCUGUCCGCGGGUGGCCUGCGCCCAAAAGGGCGUUUCGGUUCGGCCCCGGUGGCGCCUUGAAAUCUGCAGCUGGGGGGACGUUGGCCUUAACUGGUCGGCGACCGCACGCCGGCUGCUCGGUUACUGUGAGAAAAUUAGAGUGUUCAAGGCAGGCAUUGGGUGCAAUUGAAUACAUUAGCAUGGAAUAAUAAAAUAUGGCUCCUGCCGUAUUUUGUUGGUUUUGACUGGUGGGAGUAAUGAUUGAUAGGGACGGUUGGGGGUGCUAGUAUUGAGCGGCCAGAGGUGAAAUUCAUGGAUUCGCUCAAGACUGACUUAUGCGAAAGCAUUCACCAAGGACGUCCUCUUUAAUCAAGAACGAAAGUUGGGGGAUCGAAGACGAUCAGAUACCGUCGUAGUCUCAACCAUAAACUAUGUCGACUUGGGAUCGGCGGUAGUUUUUUCAUUAAGACACUGUCGGGACCACGGGAGAAAUCAAAGUGUCUGGACUCUGGGGGAAGUAUGGUCGCAAGGCUGAAACUUGAAGGAAUUGACGGAAGGGCACCACCAGGAGUGGAGCCUGCGGCUUAAUUUGACCCAACACGGGGAAACUUACCAGGUCCAGAGAUAUAGAGGAUUGACAGAUUGAAGCUCUUUCUUGAUCACUUCGGUGGUGGUGCAUGGUCGUUCUUAGUUGGUGGAGUGAUUUGUCUGGUUAAUUCCGUUAACGAACGAGACCUCAGCCUGCUAGUGUAGUCGGCUGGAUUGCCUUUGGCGAUCCGUGAUUUCGACUUCUUAGAGGGACAAUCGACGCGCAGUCGAUGGAAGUUUGAGGCAAUAACAGGUCUGUGAUGCCCUUAGAUGUUCUGGGCCGCACGCGCGCUACACUGCUGGGCUCAGCGAGUCUUACUUGGCCGAGAGGCCCGGUUAAUCUUGUGAAAUCCCAGCGUGCUUGGGCUCGCCUCCUGCAACUGGAGGCGCCAACGAGGAAUUCCUAGUAGACGCAGGUCAUCAACCUGCAUCGAUUACGUCCCUGCCCUUUGUACACACCGCCCGUCGUUCCAUAAGAGUGAGGCAUCCGGUGAAUUCUCGGGAGAGCCUGGGCGUGGCCAGCAAUGGUCUGCUCGGGUUUGAACUUGCAUAAACUUGG
rnacentral:rRNA from 1 species